GUUGCGAUGGCAGAGCCCGGUAAUUGCAUAAAACUUAAACCUUUACACCAGAGGUUCAAAUCCUCUUCACAACA
rnacentral:tRNA from 1 species